rnacentral:rRNA from 1 species
CCAGACAGCCAGGAUGUUGGCUUAGAAGCAGCCAUCAUUUAAAGAAAGCGUAAUAGCUCACUGGUCGAGUCGGCCUGCGCGGAAGAUGUAACGGGGCUAAACCAUGCACCGAAGCUGCGGCAGCGACACUAUGUGUUGUUGGGUAGGGGAGCGUUCUGUAAGCCUGUGAAGGUGGCCUGUGAGGGUUGCUGGAGGUAUCAGAAGUGCGAAUGCUGACAUAAGUAACGAUAAAGCGGGUGAAAAGCCCGCUCGCCGGAAGACCAAGGGUUCCUGUCCAACGUUAAUCGGGGCAGGGUGAGUCGACCCCUAAGGCGAGGCCGAAAGGCGUAGUCGAUGGGAAACAGGUUAAUAUUCCUGUACUUGGUGUUACUGCGAAGGGGGGACGGAGAAGGCUAUGUUGGCCGGGCGACGGUUGUCCCGGUUUAAGCGUGUAGGCUGGUUUUCCAGGCAAAUCCGGAAAACCAAGGCUGAGGCGUGAUGACGAAGCACUACGGUGCUGAAGCAACAAAUGCCCUGCUUCCAGGAAAAGCCUCUAAGCAUCAGGUAACAUCAAAUCGUACCCCAAACCGACACAGGUGGUCAGGUAGAGAAUACCAAGGCGCUUGAGAGAACUCGGGUGAAGGAACUAGGC